AUUUUUGACCCUUGGGUUCUGCCAGGGAGUUAUAUUAGAAGUGCCCAUCCAAGAAGGUCAUUGGCCACAGAUAGAAUGACAUCAAAUUACGUUAUAUCUACAGUAGCUUUGUGUAAAGAGUGCGCUGAGAGCCGGGAAGCAAGUUCAGGGAGUGUGUUUUGAUCUAGAGGCCGGAGAGGGAGUAUACGUGACACUUUGAUUGGACUGAUCAUGUCAACAUCGUACUUUCAAAAUCUUAGCUGGCAAGCUAGCAGUCGUCACCAUGACUCAAGUCGACAAUCAAAUCCUUGUCAUAUGAAGAGAAAUUAGAGAUAAACGUCUCGGUGCUCAUCGGCUAUUGGACAUAAACAUUACACAACAAGUUGGAAAUCGCAAAUUCAACAAUGAGUGGUUUGGGAAGGAAUUAUUGGCUAGCUGUGAGUUCAAGACAACUCAGAACUCGGGACAAACGAGCUUCGACUGGGAAAAUACGUUUUGAACGGUCAUUCAACUCGGAAUUGUAAAUUCGGCAUCUUUCUCUUUGAUGACAAAAUUUGCCCAAGAAGGACCGCCGCGCCACUUUCCUGUUUAAGCACAUCACGACGGGUGAGAAGAAGGUAAUCUGCAACAAACUUGUACAGAUGAGUGCUUUGACAUGUUUGCUAUGGCCGGCAGAACACGCAAUCAUUUUUGGUUUAACUGAGGGAAAGGUUCACCUUGCUAACACAAAAACAAACAAGUCAUCUACAGUCUACAGAAAAGAUUCCUACGUUGUCUCGUUGACAACAGGUAAAUUGUUGACCCACCCUUGGCUUCCCAUGCCAGGGCAUAUGGUUUGGCAACAGCUUCAUAGUGGCUGGAUGUGACAAGAAGAUGGUGGCCUAUGGCAGGGAAGGUCACAUCCAGCAGACUUUUGACUACAGCCGAGAACACGCUGAGAAAGAGUUCACUGUGGCCACCAGUCCCAGUGGACAGUCUGUGGUCAUCGGCAGCUAUUACCGUCUUCAACUGGGGUCCUCUGAAAGGAGCAUGGGACGAAGCAUCCCCCAAAGAGAUUCCAAACCUGUACACCAUCACUGCCUUGGCCUGGAAGAAGGACGGCUCACACGCCUCUGUGCAGUUAGUAACCAUACACGAACGAACACACCUGUUUGCAACAGUCAUGCCAUAAUUGAUUUAGCUCCGAAUGUGCUGUAGAAAGUAGGCUACACGUUGCCUUUCACAGCUUUUUGUAAUUUAAACUUCAUGAACGUGUUUUUGUCAAUCCCUGUGUUCAGGGUACACUGUCUGGCGGAGUGGAACAGUUUUUCUGCUGCCUGUGGAGGAGCAUCUACAAGAACAAUUUUGAGAUGACUUAUGAGGGACUGAGUCGGGUACCUUGUGAUAUUCACCGCCUUCAGUUCAGAACGAAAGGGUGGUCUUUUCAGUUCAGCUGACAAGGAAAGUUUAACUUGAGUCCUUGAGUUGUGGCUCACAGAGAUUGUUGUUGAGCUGCGCUAAUCACAUCACCCUCUGUGGACUCAACAGUUCUUCUUAGCCAUGUCACUUAAUUCCUUGCGGGUGUCACACCAGCCUUCGCUUUGGCUCCCCCUCCUGUCCAGCUCAGGCAUUAGGCGUUGCCGGCUUUCUAGCUGCUGGCAAACGCCUUUCACUCAUCAACCCCGGACUUGUCUCGUCAUCAUUACACACACCUGGUUCCAAUCCCCACGCUAUCACUGUGUGUGUAUAGAUACUCCCUCUGUCAUUUGUAUUUGUCGUCAUUGUAAAUGUUGCUUGUUUUCCUGAGAGGAAUCUCCUAUUUCCUGAACCUUAUUUUGCACUUUGGGUCUUGUCCCGCAUUUAUUUAUGUGUGUGUAUGUAUGUAUGUAUGUAUGUGUGUGUAGAGAUAUCUCUCUCUCGCUCUCAUAUUUAUAUAUAGAGAGAGUGCUUUAAUAAACUCAGUAGUUCUAAACCUGCGACUGCCUACUCCUCUCUACGCUUGUGACAGUGGGUUUGUGGCUCAGUCUAUCUAACUGAACAUUGUCUCUCGAGGUGAUUGUAAAGAACCUGUCCACAGGGAUGCAGGUUGUGCUGAAAUCCCACUACAGCCAUGAGAUAGACGAGGUGAAGAUCAUGAGGAAGGACCGCUAUCUGGUGGCCCACACCUCUGACACCCUGCUGCUGGGAGACUUGUCCUCCAACAACCUGAGUGAGGUGUGUAUGAUUUGCAACACUGGGGGUGCUGAUGCUGGUGGAGUGCGGCAGCAACAACACUGGGGGCGCUGAUGCUGGUGGAGUGCGGCAGCAACAACACUGGGGGGCGCUGAUGCUGGUGGAGUGCGGCAGCAACAACACUGGGGGCGCUGAUGCUGGUGGAGUGCGGCAGCAACAACACUGGGGGCGCUGAUGCUGGUGGAGUGCGGCAGCAACAACACUGGGGGCGCUGAUGCUGGUGGAGUGCGGCAGCAACAACACUGGGGGCGCUGAUGCUGGUGGAGUGCGGCAGCAACAACAUCCUGGGAUCAGUGAGAACUGAGUUCAUGAACCCACAUCUCAUCCGUGUUUGUCUCAAUGAGCGCAAACAGAAUGGAGUUGAAGACAGCAAAAAGUUAGCCUACCUGAUUGACAUCAAGACCAUUGCCAUUGG